AAGUCUUUGCUUUUCCCUAUUUUAACUCAUCAUUGAAGACGCUGUUUUGUUUUUCGGAGAUUCAUCAUGGCGAUGCAUACGAAGGCGACACCGCCACAGAUUCCCGACACACGUCGGGAACUCUCGGAACUGGUCAAGAGGAAACAAGAACUUGCGGAGACAUUGGUGAACUUGGAAAGACAGAUCUAUGCAUUUGAGGGCAGCUACUUGGAAGACACCCAGAUGUAUGGGAAUAUCAUUAGAGGAUGGGACAGAUACCUCACCAACCAAAAAAAUUCCAACAGCAAGACAGACCGAAGAAACAGAAAGUUCAAGGAGGCAGAGCGUCUGUUCAGCAAGUCUUCAGUCACUUCUGUAGCAGCUGUCUGUGCACUUGGCGGGAUACCAGAUCACAUGAAUGAAAAGCGUGAGCCCGGCAGUGGGACAGAGAGCGACACAUCCCCAGACCUCCAGAACCAGGAGAACGAGCCAAGUCAGGAGGACACUGAGGACGCAGACGAGGCACUGCAGGACCUCAAACCCCAGAAGGCUGCCUCGUCCUCCUCCGGAAGCCACCAUGGGAGCCACAAGAAAAGGAAGAACAAAAACAGACACAGCCCUUCUGCCAUGUUUCAUUAUGACUUUGAGUCCUGUUCCCUUAAUCCAGUUAUGAAAAAGUCUGCUCUUCCUGCCAAAAUGAGAUGGGGAGCUCACAGGUUGAGUAAAAACCCAUAUCUUUCAGCACAUCCCAGGCUUUCACAUGGUUCUUUUAGUUGUCUCCUUGUGUGUUGCUUGGUCUCUUAGCUUGAGUAACUGUAGUGGUGCUUGUUGUCUCCAUGGUUACUCGUGUUGUAUUUAGUGAAACCUGAAAGACCUGUCGUAACUCUAGCUUUUUUUUUGUUUGUUUUUAGAUUCGACAUGAAGGUGAACAAAAAACCCAGAGCGGACUAUUCAACUUGAUGAACGGGGGUGUUAAGCACUUCAGACCAGAACUGGCCACACAGGAGACGUCUUCAGUGAAGCAGAGAAUCACUUCUCUGGGCUUUGUGAACUUUAUAUGCCUUAUGUUAACUGACUUGGUUUCUGCUUUGUGUAUAUUGUAUGAAAUGUUGCCCCUCCCCACCGGCAACUAGAAAUAUUUGUGCUCCAUGAUUUUCCUGCAGAAAAGUACACGGUGUGUAAUUGCAUGUUACUCAAUACCCAGCUGGGAUUAUUGUAUAGUGUUGAACGUUCUAUAUUUAUCAUGUAACUUCACAUUUUCCUCUGCUCUUCUUGUGACAAAAAUAAGAAGAUUAUAUUUGUCGUUGUCUGGUCGUUUGUUAGCUCUAGAGUAUCCCAGCUUCUGUUUUUUUUUUUACAUUUUAUUUUGAGUUUUGUUUAGCAUAGCUAUGUAAUAAAACAUUGAAAUGAUAAAUAUUACUAUGUAUAGUUUAUGGUAAAAAUCUAAAUUUGUGAAGGUCUUAGCCCACCAGAAGCAUUGAAAAUGUCUUGCUGUUAAUCAAAAUCUCAUCUCUGUCUUUACUCUGCACUCUUCAGUGAUGAUAUAGCAGGGAAAUCAAUAGGGAAGCUAGUUUAUGACCAACAGACCAACAUCUGUGUCUGACGGCAUCUACUGUCUGGUUUCAUUGUGGCUUCUUCAUGGCCCUGUUACCUGCCAAGGUGCUCAGACGAGGCUCUCUCUCUAGUCCACCAUCUUAUUAUUAGAGUUUCAAAUAGCUCCCUAUUCCAUUUAUACUACACUACGUUUGAUUGGUGAAGUUUCAGUGAGUUCAUGGAAAUUGUUUUAGUACUGUGUUCACCUUCAAACGGCUUUAUUCUGGCUCCCAAGUAUGAUUAAAAUAACUCUGUUUACACACAAAGAUAUGACGUCAUGUCAUUCCUACGGUGGCCGUUUCAGAGAUUUGAGUUUGAUUUCUGAGCAGUGGCAGUUUGAAGUGAACCAGGGGGCAACAAGCUGACAACACAUGACCCAUGCCAUGUUGGGGAACAGUGUACUAUAUACAGUUUAACUAGUAAUUGAACUACAUUUUACAGUAGGUUGGUUGGUACUUGAACGAAAUUCAAAUAUUGGUACUGUUUUCAGUAGGUAACUUUUUGUUGUUGUUGUGUAGCUAACUACUGGAACUACACACGUUUGCAAAAGGAAAAUAAAAUGUGGCUGAAGUAGGUAAUCGUUUAUUUUUCGGCAUCAUACCUGCCUAAUUCUCACUUGAAACAUUGUAGUGUGUAUAAUAGGCUAAAUUACACCUUUUAACAUUU